rnacentral:rRNA from 1 species
GAUGAACGCUGGCGGCGUGCCUAAUACAUGCAAGUCGAGCGAACAGACGAGGAGCUUGCUCCUCUGACGUUAGCGGCGGACGGGUGAGUAACACGUGGAUAACCUACCUAUAAGACUGGGAUAACUUCGGGAAACCGGAGCUAAUACCGGAUAAUAUAUUGAACCGCAUGGUUCAAUAGUGAAAGACGGUUUUGCUGUCACUUAUAGAUGGAUCCGCGCCGCAUUAGCUAGUUGGUAAGGUAACGGCUUGCCAAGGCAACGAUGCGUAGCCGACCUGAGAGGGUGAUCGGCCACACUGGAACUGAGACACGGUCCAGACUCCUACGGGAGGCAGCAGUAGGGAAUCUUCCGCAAUGGGCGAAAGCCUGACGGAGCAACGCCGCGUGAGUGAUGAAGGUCUCCGGAUCGUAAAACUCUGUUAUUAGGGAAGAACAAAUGUGUAAGUAACUAUGCACGUCUUGACGGUACCUAAUCAGAAAGCCACGGCUAACUACGUG